GACGAACGCUGGCGGUGUGCUUAACACAUGCAAGUCGAACGGUAAGGCCCUUUUGGGGGUACAUGCUUGGCGGACGGGCGAGUAACACAUGCGUAACUUGCCUUCAUUUCUCGGUUAACAGACGUAAACGGUUGCUAACAAUGGAUGUGAGCUUGCAAGUCAUCCUGUGGGUUGGAAGGAUUUUUUUUGGUUGGGGAUGGACUCGCGGCUUAUCAGCUUGUUGGUGAGGUAGUGGCUCACCAAGGCUUUGACGGGUAGCCGGCCUGAGAGGGUGACCGGCCACAUUGGGACUGAGAUACGGCCCAGACUCCUACGGGAGGCAGCAGUGGGGAAUAUUGCACAAUGGGCGGAAGCCUGAUGCAGCAACGCCGCGUGCGGGAUGACGGCCUUCGGGUUGUAAACCGCUUUCGCCUGUGACGAAGCGUUUGUGACGGGAAUGGAUUAAAAAACACCGGCUAACUAUGUG
rnacentral:rRNA from 1 species